rnacentral:hammerhead_ribozyme from 1 species
AUCCAGACGACGAGUCCUAAAUAGGACGAAACGCGUGACAACCUGGAU